UAAAUCUAACGUUGCCUAUCAGUAUCAAUU
rnacentral:piRNA from 1 species